rfam:Mustela putorius furo unplaced genomic scaffold scaffold00122, whole genome shotgun sequence.
CAGAGCCCGCCAGCCGCUACACCAGGGCCACACCUGGGGGUGAUUUUAUGCCUCACCUCCAGUAGGCACCUCGGUCUGUCUCUGUGGGCUAAUCUCUGGCUCCUUUGCACUAACUCUUGCUCUCACCCAGCUAAUCCCUGCCUUGCCCUGGCUGUCCCUCCGGGGGCUGCCCACUAACAGCCAACCCUACCCAUCUGGGGGGCGCCAGGCUCCCGGCCUGGCUCUGACCGGCUCUUAAUUAACUUCUCCUUCACCUUGACUAACUCCUGCCCUCCUGGUCUGUUCCUUUCAGCGAUAACUAACGGCUUGUGGAUUUCUUUCUGACUAACAACAGGUCUAACACUACUUGUUACUAUUACUGUUAACAGCUUGGAUGUCGGCAUGGCUGGG